UACGGAGGAUCCAAGCGUUAUCCGGAUUUACUGGGUUUAAAGGGUGCGUAGGCGGAUUGAUAAGUCAGUGGUGAAAGCCUACAGCUUAACUGUAGAACUGCCAUUGAUACUGCCAGUCUGGAGUAUGGUUGAGGUAGCUGGAAUGUGUCAUGUAGCGGUGAAAUGCUUAGAGAUGACACAGAACACCAACGGCGAAGGCAGGUUACCAACCCAUUACUGACGCUGAGGCACGAAAGCGUGGGGAUCAAACAGG
rnacentral:rRNA from 1 species